AUGAAAAAUCCUUCCAAAGACAGCACACACAGGGGCAAGCAUAUGGAAUAUCCUCUUUAUGUAUUAAUCAUGUAUGGUAAGUCAGCAUGGCCGGAGCUGGUGGGGAUGCAGGGCGGCGACGCCAUUACAGUCAUCGAGACAGAACGGCCGGACGUCUUUGCUCUUCUGAGACAGGACGGUGACCCAGAGCCGCCGACCUUCGAACGUUUCCGGGUCUAUGUUUGGUGCAACGGCAUCGAGCAACCAAUCGUUACCCGGACUCCCGUCAUCGGAUAG
rnacentral:rRNA from 1 species